CACCCUUACUUUUUCUUGACACUGAUUUCAUAUUCAUAUUAUAUUAUGAAAUAGUGUUAAACAAUGAGACAAAAAAUAACUGCAACGGAUUGCAACACAUUUAUUUCGGCACCGAUAUGGUUAAGAUACCGGUCAUCGCAGUACGUUGUGAGACAAAUGCAAUAUCAAUAAUUGCUCUCCUCCCAGCCGCCGAAAUUGGCAGCGACUAGACUUCACUUUCUGGCCUAGAGCCUUUUAAGACCGUUACCAAAAGAAAACGGGCGGUCCUUAAUUUCACAUUUCUCAAGAAUCAGACUUCUCCCGAGAGCGACCGCUUAAACUGAACUGCAUAAAGACUCCGAAAACAAAACCAUAUAAGAGUAAGACACAGCAUCACACAAACUAAAACUGCCAGUUAAACACGGGGCAGACAAUCACCAGAAAAUGGGAAAAUGGGACCCCACCCGCCCCAAAAACAAUCACCCUUAUUUCUCUCUCGUGUAGAAAGGACAAGAAGCUCUGGUGCCCAUGCCAUUUUCCUGUUGUAUUGGACAACAUCUCAUUAAGGAUGAUAACACAACCACAAGGGGCUUGAGGAAAGAGUUGAAAUUCUGUGAAUCUUUGGUCCAUGUGCAACAGAAGUGAAGCGCAUUUGGAGGAGACCGUUGUGGGAAAACUUCCCCCGUAGCAAUGUAUCCUGACUAUCAUACUCUAUGAUAGUCAGGCUCUGUCUUGCAUUUAGAAACUUGGGUGUAU